UGGCUCAGAUUAAACGCUGGCGGCAUGCCUUACACAUGCAAGUCGAACGGCAGGCGGGCCUUCGGGUGCCGGCGAGUGGCGAACGGUGAGUAAUGCAUCGGAACGUGCCUAUUGAGUGGGGAUAACGUAGCGAAAGUUGCGCUAAUACCGCAUAUUCUGUGAGCAGGAAAGCAGGGGACCGCAAGGCCUUGCGCUCUUUGAGCGGCCGAUGUCAGAUUAGCUAGUUGGUGAGGUAAAGGCUUACCAAGGCGACGAUCUGUAGCGGGUCUGAGAGGAUGAUCCGCCACACUGGAACUGAGACACGGUCCAGACUCCUACGGGAGGCAGCAGUGGGGAAUUUUGGACAAUGGGGCAACCCUGAUCCAGCCAUGCCGCGUGAGUGAAGAAGGCCUUCGGGUUGUAAAGCUCUUUCGGCCGGGAAGAAAUCGCAUGGGUGAAUACCCUGUGUGGAUGACGGUACCGGAACAAGGAGCACCGGCUAACUACGUG
rnacentral:rRNA from 1 species